rnacentral:rRNA from 1 species
GGAUUAGAUACCCGGGUAGUCCUAGCAGUAAACGGUGCACGUUUGGUGUGGGAGGAUUCGACCCCUUCUGCGCCGGAGCUAACGCGUUAAACGUGCCGCCUGGGGAGUACGGUCGCAAGAUUAAAACUCAAAGAAAUUGACGGGGGCCCGAACAAGCGGUGGAGUAUGUGGCUUAAUUCGAUGCAACGCGAAGAACCUUACCUGGCCUUGACAUGCAUCUCUAAGUUGGUGAAAGCCAGCGAGUGUCGAAAGACACAAUUUGCACAGGUGCUGCAUGGCUGUCGUCAGCUCGUGUCGUGAGAUGUUGGGUUAAGUCCCG